rnacentral:lncRNA from 1 species
AUGAUGGUUUAUCUUCUACAUCUUUCUAUCUUGUUCUUCAUAUUUUGUUCUUCAUGUCUUGAAUCAAGUGCAAUGUUUGAUGUUCGUCAUCGAUCCGGUGCUUUCACAGUGGUAUCAGAGCAUGGUUACCGAUUCAGAAUGGUCUAACCGCCUUCUGAAUCACCAUUGCUCUUGAUUUGAUGUUUGUUUCCGCCAAACAUCUUGAAGACUUGAAGAUUUUGCAGAAAAGUUGAAGAAAAUGAAGCUGUUCGUGGUUGUUUUGUUCUCCAAGUUGUUGCAGAUAUGAGGUUUGAUCCAAAAAUUGCUCUGUCCGAGUUUUUCUUAGUGUUAAACUUGUCUGAGUUUUAAAACUCUGUGUUUGUUGUUUCCGGGGUUUUGGUGAACUAGUGUGAAGUCACACUAGGGAGAUAGUCCGGAGACUUGUUUCUGAGCUUAAUUCCGAGUUUUAAACUCUUUCUUGGUCCAAGUUUAAAACUCUUUCUUAGUUUUGUCCAAGUUUUAAACUCUUUCUUGGUCCAAGUUUAAAACUCUUUCUUAG